AUUCGUUUUUAUUUAUUUUAUUUUUGCAACACGUUUUCCAUGUUAAAAGAUAAAUGUUGCAUGUUGACAGAUAAAUGCAUCUUGUUUAAGAAAAAUAAAUACAAUCAUUGCACAACCUGCAGUUUUAUCUGUUAUCUCUAUUUUUUGGUGGUACCCCAUUUAAAUGUGAGAUUUUGGAAACCAGAUCUAAAUUUAGCGGGAAUGGUCGGGUCGGGUAGAAAAUUAUUCUAAGCGGGCAGCGGGUGAACAAAGACUGAAUAUACAGCGGGAGCGGUCGGGUGCGGUACAAAACCUUGCGGGAGCGGGACUAAAAAAACAUUCCCGCGCAGACCUCUAGUUUAGACUCCAAAAACAACAUGGUUAGGCAUAGGUGUUAAAACAGUAACAGUAAACCACACUUGUUGAUGGAUGAGCUGGGAGCAACUGCUCGCUCUCAAUCAAGAGGCAGCAUUACACUCUCUACAGCCUCUCCUGAUUUUUUUUUUUUUUUUUUUCACGCCUAUCACAAGAGCUCAGGCUGAGAUUGUGAAAAGGUGUGGAUCUGUCAAGUCUGGUAUUCCAUGGCAAGUGACAAAUCUAGUUCCAGGAAGCAGUGAGCAGUGUUUCUUGGUCAGUGUACAUAGCUUGAAGGCACUUUACUUUUCUUUGCAACAGGUAUGACUAGUCUGCAUGAAAACAGGUAUGCAGAAAAGAGGAGGCGGUUUCACUGAUGAUGGAAGGCAUAGGAUGGAACGCUUUGUUUAAUGGACACAUGACACAUACUUGUAUCAUGAACCCUCAUGGUGAAACUUCGGCUUUUCCAUCGCGCUGUAAACCCUCAGGGCUACUGUGGACAAUGACCAUCCGCCCAUCAAAUAUUAUUCAGUCAUAGUAACCCUGCAUUAAUGUUCCUCUGCUGUGAUGAGAAAAAUGCUCUGUGCAAAUACAUGUAAACAAAAUCAAGAUAUAAAAUAAAAUAUGCUUUUAUUUAUAGUGAUUAAAUUACCAUUUCACUAAAAACAAUCCUGCACACUGAUUAUAUCAUGU
ensembl:lncRNA